rnacentral:rRNA from 1 species
UUUCCGUAGGUGAACCUGCGGAAGGAUCAUUGUCGAAACCUGCAAGGCAGAACGACCCGCGAACAAGUGAAAACUAACGCGGGCGAUGGGCCUUUUGGGCCGAUCGCUCGAAGUCCAAGGGGAGGGAUGUGGGAAACUACAGCUCCUCUUCCGCGGGCACAACGAACCCCGGCGCAAAUUGCGCCAAGGAACCAAAAAAUGAUGUGCGCUCCCUUCGCCUGGAAACAGUGUCGUAGGGGGUUGCAUCGUCGUCCAUAUUUUAUAUGAAACGACUCUCGGCAACGGAUAUCUCGGCUCUCGCAUCGAUGAAGAACGUAGCGAAAUGCGAUACUUGGUGUGAAUUGCAGAAUCCCGUGAACCAUCGAGUUUUUGAACGCAAGUUGCGCCCGAAGCCGUCAGGCCGAGGGCACGCCUGCCUGGGUGUCACGCAACGUCGCCAACAAUCCCCUCACCCCCUGCAUAGGGAAUAGUUUGGGGUGGCGGAUAUUGGCCUCCCGUGUGCUCCCGCUCGCGGUUGGCCCAAAAAACAGCCCCUUGGCGAUGGCAGCCACGGCACGCGGUGGUUGGAAGCAUUAGCUCCUAAAAAACCGCUGUGGGCAAGCCUCGUCGACGGGGAGCAAAAGACCCUGACGCAAGCGUCCUCACAAAGCGACCCCAGGGCAGGCGGGAACA